GAAUAUAGUAAAGCUAUUGCGGAUGACAUAGCAAAGAGGCUGAUCCUGACCCCACCACAGGACCAAGAAAGUUUGGAACCACGCAGCCAUACUUCUCGCAGCAGAGGCCCAAAUCCUGAAGAAGCAGAGGAUGAAUACGAAAAAGCUCUUGCGGAUGAAAUACCAAAGAGGCCGACCGUUACCUCACCACAGG